rnacentral:rRNA from 1 species
UACGAAGGAUUCGAGCGUUAUCCGGAUUUAUUGGGUUUAAAGGGUGCGUAGGCGGACCGAUAAGUCAGUGGUGAAAUCCUGUUGCUUAACAACAGAACUGCCAUUGAUACUGCCGGUCUUGAGUACAGUUGAGGUAGGCGGAAUGUGUCAUGUAGUGGUGAAAUACUUAGAUAUGACACAGAACACCGAUUGCGAAGGCAGCUUGCUAAACUGUAACUGACGCUGAGAAGCGAAAGCGUGGGUAGCGAACAGG